GACCACCCGUGGGGGAAAGGGCGGGUUCACCUGGGCCCCGAUUACUGAACCCUGAGGGCACCGAAAAGCCUGGGGGGGCCAAACCGGGAUUAGGUUCCCCUGGGUAGUUCCCCGCCGUAAACCGAUGAAUUCCCAGCCGUUUAGUGGGUUUACCCACCAAGGGGGGCAGCUUAACGCUUUAAAGCUUUCCGCCUGGGGAGUACGGUCGCAAGAUUAAAACUUCAAAGGAAUUUACGGGGGGCCCGCACAAGCGGUGGAGCAUGUGGUUUAAUUCGGCGCACGGCGCAGAACCUUACCAGCCCUUGACUUCCCGGUCGCGGACUCCAGAGACGGAGUUCUUCAGUUCGGCUGGACCGGAGACAGGUGCUGCAUGGCUGUCGUCAGCUCGUGUCGUGAGAUGUUGGGUUAAGUCCCGCAACGAGCGCAACCCCCGUCCUUAGUUGCUACCAUUUAGUUGAGCACUCUAAGGAGACUGCCGGUGAUAAGCCGCGAGGAAGGUGGGGAUGACGUCAAGUCCUCAUGGCCCUUACGGGCUGGGCUACACACGUGCUACAAUGGCGGUGACAAUGGGAUGCUAAGGGGCGACCCUUCGCAAAUCUCAAAAAGCCGUCUCAGUUCGGAUUGGGCUCUGCAACUCGAGCCCAUGAAGUUGGAAUCGCUAGUAAUCGUGGAUCAGCACGCCACGGUGAAUACGUUCCCGGGCCUUGCACACUUUUCCCGCCACGGCGUGGGUUUAAAAAAAACGAAGAC
rnacentral:rRNA from 1 species